rnacentral:lncRNA from 1 species
ACUGAGAUGGAGCAGAGCAGCACUGGGAAUGGGGAUUCCGCUCAAGCUGCUCCAGGCUGGCUCUCCAGCUCCACAUUUUGGGUGUGAAAACAACAAAAAAAAAAAACAUCCCAAGGCUCCACAUUUUGGGUGUAAAAAUAACAAAAAACCCAUCCCAAGGUUCCACGAUUUGGGUGUGAAAACAAAAUAAAAAAAGCCAUCCCAAGGCUCCACAUUUUGGGUGUAAAAACAACAAAAAAACCCAUCCCAAGGUUCCACGAUUUGGGUGUGAAAAUAACAAAAAACCCAUCCCAAGGCCCCCCCAGUGGUUGAACCCUCAGUGCUUCCCCUGGGGGAGGAGGUGGGAAACCAUCAGAGCUCAAGGAGAAAGCAGCAAAAAAUCAACCCCAAAGCUGCACUGCGGCUUCACAGUUCAAAAUAAAGAGAAAAAAUUCAAGUCUAACUGGGAUUCCUGUGCCCCAAAAUGCCGAAAUCCUCGCUCUGGUGGUUUCCUGUUCAAAGCUCAGGGAGGGGAAUGGCCCAAGUUGGGGACAGCACAGAGGGGCUGGGGCUGCCCGGCGGCACAAAACCCAACAAAUGCACCAAAACCAACCCGGAACAGCAGAAAUGUGCGGAGCUGCGUGCCCUGCCCUUGCCUGAGGCUCGGCUGCCACCUGGGGACACUCGGACAGCCCGGGCUCAUGGGUUUGCAAAUGAGGUAAAUUAAUACUGAAUAAACCCCCAGCGGGCUGCGAGGGGAGAGAGCCG